UCCAGAAAAAGCCAAACCCCGGGUGACCGAGGGACGGAAAGAUUCAGGUCCUGAGCAUGAUCGAUCGAAGGGCGCAAAGACAGACGGUCCAAUAAG
rnacentral:misc_RNA from 1 species